AUCCCACUCCUUCAUCAUUCGUCAUCCCCCUCCUUCCCCAAGCGCCGGCGGCGAAUAAUUCCCACCACAUCCCAAAACUCCCCAGAAAAAUUCAUAUAUAUCUCUCCCCCUCCAAGAGCCUUCCUCCUCCGUUGGCCAACUCCGCCGACCAACUCCGCGAGGCAACGCUGCAAGUGGUGAUCUCUAUAGGUCUAGCUGAUUCUGUUGGUUUGCCAUGUCGAAUAGCCCAAGGAUGCAAGUACUACACAUUGCCGAUCUUCAGGAGACGCUGCCACCAAUCUUUAGGAAACCUUCGCCGAUUCUUAAGCGAAGAACGGACACCCUCAUCAUCCCAAAUCACCGAUCUUCAGGAAACCAUGUGAUCUGUCAUGAAUGGUGGGAUCUCGUUAGGAUUCCCGAGUUCUUGGUGUUCAGGGCAAUGGUGGUGUUUGUUUUCUCAACGUUGUAUGUUAUUUGGUGUUUGGUUUUUCUUAUGCGACUAUGUUGGUUAAGACUCAAGGUUUAAUUAGACCUGAUUUGGAAUUUA